rnacentral:rRNA from 1 species
GAUGAACGCUGGCGGCGUGCCUAAUACAUGCAAGUCGAGCGAACAGACGAGGAGCUUGCUCCUCUGACGUUAGCGGCGGACGGGUGAGUAACACGUGGAUAACCUACCUAUAAGACUGGGAUAACUUCGGGAAACCGGAGCUAAUACCGGAUAAUAUAUUGAACCGCAUGGUUCAAUAGUGAAAGACGGUUUUGCUGUCACUUAUAGAUGGAUCCGCGCCGCAUUAGCUAGUUGGUAAGGUAACGGCUUACCAAGGCGACGAUGCGUAGCCGACCUGAGAGGUGGGUCGGCCACACGGGAACUGAGACACGGUCCAGACUCCUACGGGAGGCAGCAGUAGGGAAUCUUCCGCAAUGGGCGAAAGCCUGACGGAGCAACGCCGCGUGAGUGAUGAAGGUCUUCGGAUCGUAAAACUCUGUUAUUAGGGAAGAACAAAUGUGUAAGUAACUAUGCACGUCUUGACGGUACCUAAUCAGAAAGCCACGGCUAACUACGUG